rnacentral:tRNA from 1 species
CAUUAGAUAGCUAAAAGUUAGCCCAGGUCUCUUAAACCUUCUAAUAAUAGAUUAACGCCUAUUUCUAAUGA